CAUAACCUAGGGAAUAAUUAUCUAUUUAACAAAAUAUCACUCUCAUUAGUGCGUGCGUGUGACAUCCAAAAAUCCAGUGAUGACGUCACCUGUAAUCCAGGCUUUAGCUGCAAUAAGCUGGAAUAAACUAACAAGGGGUCCUUCUAUAAUAUAAAUGUACUUUUUCCCGGAAUUAAACCCUUCAAAGGAAGUGAGAUAGCCACAGCAUCCAGCAACCCCGACAUGAAACACAACCCAAGCAUCAGUUCCAUCGUGUUUGUCAUUUGCUGAAUAGGAAUCAGAUCUCCGAAGCCAACCGUUGUCAUGGUGAUAAACCAAGCGUACAUGGACUGGGUAAGAGUCCAAUUGUGCUGCACGCACGAAACCGCUGACGCA